UACGUAGGGGGCGAGCGUUGUCCGGAAUCACUGGGCGUAAAGGGCGCGCAGGCGGCGGCCCAAGGAUCCCGUGAAAGCCCUCGGCUCAACCGGGGGAGGCCGGGGUCGACUGGGCGGCUGGAGUGUCGCAGAGGCGGGUGGAAUUCCCGGUGGAGUGGUGAAAUGCGUAGAGAUCGGGAGGAACACCAGUGGCGAAGGCGGCCCGCUGGGCGACGACUGACGCUGAGGCGCGAGAGCGUGGGGAGCGAACUGA
rnacentral:rRNA from 1 species